CGUGUUCAUUAAAUUAAACAGAAAAAGAAAACUCGUAAAGAUAAUGCCCCUCUCUCUCUCUAAAUAAUUAAUAAUUAAUAAUAAUUCUUAAAAAGUGCUCUAAAUUAGAGUUUAUCAUGCAUGUCCCUAUGCAUCAUUAAAAAAAAAAACUUAUAAUUCCUAACCAAAUCAAAAUAUCUUACCAAAUAUGACACACACAAAAUACUAAUUCAUCUUUUGCACAAUUCCCAACACACAAUCGGGAUGACUCUAAAUAUACUGAAAAACACAAGAAAUUGAGGGAUUUGAAUUGUGUUUCGUCAUUCUUGAAAGAUACGUUGAUUGCUUAAUCCACAAUUUCACUUAAUAGCAUACAAGUAUUUUUUACGUUGUCUCUUCAGACUUUGAAUAUUUUUCUCUAGCCUCUCCAAUUUGUCAUCGUCAAAACCCUUCUUCAACUUUUUGGUAUCAUGUCGUUGAGGUUCAUGAGUGUUGUUGUACCUUUUUAGGUACCUCUUAGGAGUGAAAGAGUUUUUGCCACUAUCAGGAAUGCAUUUGGGCUUGUUCUUGAAUAUUCAUAAAUUUUGGUUCGGUUAAGUCUUUUCUUCAAAAUGAAUUAUUUCAAUCAGAGUCAUUGACUUUCAUUAGAGUCGUUGACUUUCUUGUUCGAGUAAGAUGAUGUGUUUCUUGGAUAAUAAAAGUCAAAGACAGAAAUGUGUGACUAAGAAUUAGUGGCUUUGGGCAAAUCACAUUGUUGAAUCAUCAGAGUCAAUGCAACAUUAGAGGCUACAUUAAAGAGGUAACAUCUUAAGUGUGUUGUAACUUUUGAUUAGCGAAAUAUGAGCUUUGAAUGCAUGACUUGAAAAAUAUCUUCAAAGUUAAUGAUAGCUUGAUAUAAACUCUUUAGAGACAUGUUGAGCUUGUGCACAUAAGAGGCACGCAAGGGCUUCAACGACAAGUUUUAAAUUCAGUCUUCAAACAGUUUGCAGAGGUAGUCUUCAGACCUACUUAUCAAAAGCAGUCUUCAUAACCAAACAUCAGAGGCAGUAUUCGUAACAGUCAAAGGCAUAUAUUCAAAGGCAGACGCAUAUGCUUUUGUGUUCCUCUGAUCACUUCCUCUGGUUGCUUCCUUUGGUACAUUCCUUUUGAUUUCCUUAAUCUGAUUUUCAACACACUUAAUGAAACUAGUAGUCCAAACAAAUGGUUCUCAUAAAAUACCUUUGUUAACAUCAAAAUCACAAGAGGAAAACCAACUUAGUUCCAACAAAGCCACUUAUAAAGUUUGAUAAAUGUUUCCGAAAUGAUUAGUAUGAGAGACAUAUCUAUUUAUUAUUUGCUAGAGUUUCUAAUGAUCAAAUGCAUUCAGUUGACUAACUAUUUUUGAAAUUGAAACAAAAGACUAACAGUGCGACAAAAUAUACUUAUAAAAGAGGAACAAGUGUUGUGAUGCAUGAAGAAAUAACGUCUCACUAUCAAUGAAAGUUCCGCCGCAAAGGAGCAAAACACUACAUGUCGCAGAAUCAUCUGCUACAAUAUUACACCGUUUAGUAAUGUUUUAACUGAUACCAAAUUUAUAAAAUCUAUGUUGGAUUGAAAGUUUAUAUCAAAUAGAUCAUUCAUGUUAAAUUGUAAAAUGUUGUCUAGAUUCUAAAAUUAUUUGAUAUGCUAUUGAAAUACAUCCAAAUUAAUGUCUUUUAUAUGGAUGAUCUAUAUGAUAUAAUUUUUUUAAAAGAUCGAUUUUGUCGCUACAUUAUUUGAGGUGUCCACGCCCAUCAAUCUUUUGAAAGGUCAAAUUCAUCCCGAUAAUAAAAAUUGAUGAAAUUCAAUUACAAGGGUAUAAUUAAAUAAUAAUAAUUUAACUGAGACAAAAAAUCGUAUUUUGUCUAUAUUACCGAGACCAAAAGAACAAUAAAUCCUUCAUUAAAUUAAGCAUCUAAAU
rnacentral:lncRNA from 1 species